rnacentral:tRNA from 1 species
GAGUUCAAAAAAUUUUAAGCUUCUAACUUAAAAAAGCGAAUAAUAUCGCAAACUCU